UUUGAUCCAUCGAUUAUCACUCUCACCGGCGGUAUCCAAAAUGGCAGUUCGUUCAGUGGUAAAUUGUGAUGACACUCUAGUUUUCAUCAAUAAUGAUAGUGAAACAAGUGAGGUAACGAGGGCUUGUUGUCAUAAAUUUAAAAUAGAACUCAGAUCAGCACAAAAAAUUAUUGAACUGCUACAGGAAGAGAUAAACACGCCCAAUCAUACCCUCCAGAAGAGAUACUGUUCAACAUCAAGAUUGAGCCCUAUGACAGCGAACUGGAGCUACAGGUAGCCCUGAAGAAAGCACGGAGACCGAAGCUGCAGGAGGCUGUUACAGAAUCAAAGAACAGUGUAGAAAAGGUGGCAGAGUCAGUACUGGAGAGAAACUCAGAAGGAAACACAGAAGGUGGUUCCAUUGUGCUGAAUGCUACAGCAAAAUUCUGCCGCACACUGGGUGACAUCCCCACUUAUGGUCUGGCUGGCAACAGGGAUGAGGACGCUCAGGAACUGCUUAUUACAGGACUUUGGGAGGGAAACGAUUGAAGAGAAGAAACCUCAGGAAGAAGGCAAAUGGAGCUUGGAAUGAAGUUGAGACUGAUACCUGUCUUAUGAAUUUCAUGGAAAGGGACCUGGCAAAAAUAAAGUGGAGAAACGAAUGAAGAAAACUGAACAGGAAGGAUUGAUGAAACAGAUGAGCUCAACAGACACCCACUCGGAACGCUUAGCCUCCUGCAGCAGAAGCAGAAAGAAAUGCAGUCUCCAUUUGUGGUCCUUAGUG